rnacentral:lncRNA from 1 species
UAAAUACAUACUCAUACAUAUAUGGAAUCAAAAUAAUUAAUAAUUCGCAUAAAGUUUGGCUCUGAUACCACUGAAAGGUUUUGUGAAAAUCAAAGUAGCAAUCAAAUUACAAAAAUAGCGGAAGCAAAGUAAAAUCAUAUUUUAAAAUUUUUCACAAACCAAUUACCCAGAUCAUCUUUUAUGCAUAUUAUUAAUUAAAACGAAGAAUAAGAAGUUAUGGAAUCAUACCCUUAUAGAUACGAACUUCCACAGGUACGAGUUCAACUCCUACUUCUCCGCAAUCUCCUUGAAUCUCCGGGUAGAUUUCUUCCUUUGAUCAAUGUUAGCCACCCAAGUGUAUGGCCUCUAGAGAUGAUCCACCAAGGAAGAAGAAUUUUCAAGAAGAAUGUUGUAUUGGCUCAAACCCUAGUUUUUCUUAUCUCUAUAAAAAAAGGGAAGUACUCUCCAACUAUUAGAAUUACGUAUAUUUGAUACCUAAUAUAAGACUCCUCUUAUAAAAAUAUCAGGUAACCCUAUUUAAUUAAAAUAAGGUAUUAUUUAUUUAACUAAACUCCUUUAAUUAAAUAGGUUCCCUAAUCUUAUUAGGAAAAAUUAAUUAAACUCCUUUAACUAAUUUUGUCUUCUAAUCCUAUUAGAAAUAAAUGAGAGUACUUAAAUUAAAUUAAUUCCUAAACUCUUUUAGAAAUUAAAAUAAUAAUAAUUGUAAUAAUAUUAAAACUUUGAGGGAUUUGUUAUUGUUUGUCUCAUCUUGUUUAGCGCGCAUGCAAAUAUAUAUAUAUAUAUAUAUAUAUAUAUAUAUAUAUAUAUAUAUAAGAUGGAUCAGGUCCGGGAGUCCGGACCUGAUAAAAUGCGAACCCAAAUUUUUUAUUUUUUUUUUGUAGAACAACUAAAAAAUAAUAAUAAUUAUUAUGGAACUUGAAUUUUUACAUAAUAUAGUGUUUUGCGCGUGAUUUGGAUACCUAUACCAAAAAAUAUAUGUACAGUCUGCACAGACUGUACAGACAUAUUUUGUUAUAUGUAUCCAAAUCACACCCAAAACACUGUAUUAUGUAAAAAUUCAAGUUUCAUAAUUUUAUUUUAUUUUUUUAGUUGUUUUAAAAAAAAAUCCGCAUUUUAAGAAAAUGCGGGAGUCCGGAUAGGAUCCGGACUCUCUCUCUCUCUCUCUAUAUAUAUAUUUAUAUAUAUAUAUAUAUAUAUAUAUAUAUAUGGGAAAUGAUCCAUAGCAAAUACUUGCUAUGGAGGAAAAUUGGGCAAAUAGCAUCAUAUCCGUCCAUUCUAUAAAUCAAGGGCGCAGAUUAAAAAAUAACUCUGCCCUUACGCCAGUUUGUCUAACGUACUAUACCCACAUACGCUAGUUCGUCUAUCAUAGUUUAAAAAAAAAAAAUUAGCGGAACCACUCCCCCCAACUCUUGAAGCCCUCUUCCCUUCUUGACUUUUGAAGCCCUCUUCCCUUUUUCCUGCGAUUACUGAACCCUCCCCUCCCUCUUCCCCAUAUUAAUAAUAACAGCAUCAAUAUUAAUCCCACAAACUAUAAUAAUAUUGCUUCUUCUUCUUUAAUGCCUCCGGUACUGCCAACAACCUAUUUCAUGAGUACCCGACCCUUUCAACUCCUCCAUGGCCAUGGCCAUGGCCAUGCCACCGCUCCAACUUUUGAUUUCAGAGUGGUUGAUCCUCCCAGGAGGCCUCAUUCCGGUAUAUGGUUUAUGUUACCAGCAUCACAUAUUCAGUAAGUAAUUCUUUAAUUAAUUAUAACAUCAUCAUCGACAUCAUCAUCAAUUGCUACAGGGCAAUCAGUCAGUAAUCGCAUAUAGGGAAGAGGGAGGGGAGGGUUCAGUAAUUGCAGGGAGGAGGGAAAAGGGCUUCAAAAGUCAGGGAGGGAAGAGGGCUUCAAGAGUCGAGGGGAGUGGUUCCGCUAAUUUUUUUUUUAUAUACUACGCUAGACGAACUAGCGUACGUGGGUAUAGUAUUUCUAUAGUACGCUAGACGAACUGGCGUAAGGGCAGAGUUAUUUUUUAAUCUGCGCCCUUGAUUUAUAGAAUGGACGGAUAUGAUGUUAUUUGCCCAAUUUUCCUCCAUAGCAAGUAUUUGCUAUGGAUCAUUUCCCUAUAUAUAUAUAUAUAUAUAAUACGCAUCAUAUUAUUAAACAUGCAAAGCAUGUUUGCAUAAUAUAUAAUAUAUAUAAUACUAGCAUGCACAUAUAGAAUAUUAUAUUCUACCUGGAUUGAUUAUUGACUUUUAUUCUAGUUUGGUUCACUAGAGUCACCAAGUGAACCAAAAGGUCAAACCUUAUGGUGCAAGAAUAAAUAUUUAAAUAUAACUAUUACAUUGAAAUCCGAGCUCCAUUACAAACCAGUCUUCAAGUGCUCCUUGCUCCUUGAUCUCCGGUUCUUCAAAAAAAAUUAUAACUAAUCCUAUUACAUUAAACUAUUUAAUUUAAAUAGAAACCUUGAUCAGCAGUCAAGGAAAAGUACAUAGGAGAGAGAUAGAAUUUACAUCAAGAGGAAAAUCAGAAAAGAUGAGGUAUGCAAACCCCAUUUAAUAAAACUCAUUCAUUCAAAUAUCCAACCAAAAUAAAUCCAAUAACAUUGGUCAAUAGUCCAUAAUCAAUCUCAUUUAUUAUCAUACAUAUCAUCAUAUGUAUCAAUAAAUAAAAUCACUCCAUAUAUAUAUGAAUAUCAUUUAAUGGGCAAUUUUAAGUUGCAUGAAAUCUAAUUUCAAGAUUAAAACAAACUCUUUAUUUUAAUUAUAAAAUUAUUAAGAAUAUUAUAUAUAUAUAUAUAUAUAUAUAUAUAUAUAUAUAUAUUAACAGGUAUUUAUGUCAUGUGAAUCAGGAUAUCACUGUAACUAUUAUAAUUAAUAUAUAUAUAUAUAUAUAAGUGAAUUCCGAAGUUACAGGAUUAGCGAAGUCACGGACCUCGCGAAUUUUUAUUUUAUUUUUUCUUUUAAAUUUUAUACAAUAAUAUUAUGCCCAAUAAAUUAUUCUAAAUACAUACUCAUACAUAUAUAGAAUCAAAACAAUUAAUAAUUCGCAUAAAGAUUGGUUCUGAUACCACUGAAAGGUUUUGUGAAAAUCAAAGUAGCAAUCAAAUUGCAAAAAUAUCGGAAGCAAAGUAAAAUCAGAUUUUAAAAUUUUUCACAAACUAUUUACCCGGAUCAUCAUUUAUGCAUAUUAUUAAUUAAAACGAAGAACAAGAAGUUAUGGAAUCAUAACCUUAUAGAUACGAGCUUUCACAGGUACGAGUUCAACUCCUACUUUUUCGCGAUCUCCUUGAAUCUUCGUGUAGAUUUCUUCCUUUGAUCAAUGUUAGUCACCCAAGUGUAUGGCCUCUAGAGGUGAUCCACCAAGGAAGAAGAUUUUUCAAGAAGAAUGGUGUAUUGGCUCAAACCCUAGUUUUUCUUAUCUCUAUAUAAAAAGGGAAGUACUCUCCAACUAUUGAAAUUACGUAUAUUUGAUAUCUGAUAUAAGGCUGCUCUUAUAAAGAUAUCAGGUAACCCUAUUUAAUUAAAAUAAGGUAUUAUUUAUUUAAUUAAACUCCUUUAAUUAAAUAGGUUCCCUAAUUUUAUUAGGGAUAAUUAAUUAAACUCCUUUAACUAAUUUUGCCUCCUAAUCUUAUUAGGAAUAAAU